UUGAAGUAUACCGAAUUAUUCAUUAAGAUGUUCGUGUAAUUCUCAGAACCGCCUUCCUUGCUCUAAUAAAAUCGUAUAUUGUGUUUCAGACAGUAUUUAACCGAGACCGAAAAUGUCGGACAGAUCGAAAAAAAUGCUAGCGUUGGGCAGAGCUAAUCAGCAGCUAUCAGCACGAUUCAAGAUCGCGCCAAAACGUAAAACAAAUACUGAUUUAGAUAAUGAUGCCAUUUUCAAAGAUCCAGACUACGAACCUAGUAGCAGCGGAGUUAAAAAAAAAAAAAUUUGUUCAGAUAAGAAAUUAAACAAUAAGAAGCAUGUACGACGAUUGUUUGAUUCCCCGGCUAAAAUGACCGCAUGCGACCAUAACAAGCCAGAAAACAAUAAUAUAGAACCCUCGGUAGAAAUAUCAGAACAUAUUUUACCAGCGAUUGAAAGAAAUGUAGAGCAAAGUUCUAAAGGAUAUGAAAGAAUUAAUAUAGUGUCCAACAUCUCAAUUCGUACAGUAACUGAUAAAAGUUCAGAAGAUAUUGCCAGGGAAGUUUUGACCAAUAUAAUUAAUAAUGCUAUAGAAAUUGGCGAAAAGAUUAAACAGAAAAUGUAUACAAAGAAAGGAACUAUUCGAAAAAGAAUUAAAUUUGAAACCACACUGAAAGAAAGAAAAAAUAAUAAGAAUAAGGACAGACUUGCGAAGUUUGUCCUCAGAGAAACAUGUGCGAGUGGGUGUGUACGUAAAUGUUCAGAAGUCAUCAAUAAAGGGAGACAAAUGAAUAUUCAUUCUCAGUAUUGGCAAUUGAACCAAACCCAACAACACCAGUUCAUAUUUACUGCCGCAAAGAAAACCAUGAAAAAAAAAGAAAUGUGUAGGAGAAAACUCUAGAAGGAAUAAAACGAUAAAAUAUUACUUAAAAGACGAGCAAGGCAUAGAUUUUCAAGUGUGCAAAAAGUUUUUUUAGGAACGUUAGGGUAUCAGUAUAAAAAUGAUCGCAUCGUAAGGGAUGUUCUCUCAAAAACUUCACCAGAGGAACUUACAGUACAACCUUCCAAGAAAGGUCACCCAUCGGAAAAAAAAGUAGAUAGGACAGCCAUAUCGGAUCAUAUAAAAUCUUUUAAACCCACAAUUUCACAUUAUCGGCGAGAACAUGCUCCAAAUAGGCUCUAUCUCCCGAGUGAUAUAAAUAUUAAAAUGAUGUAUGAAGACUUUUUGGUCAAAAAUUCUGACUAUAAGAUUUCUUACGAACUCUAUAGACAAGAAGUAAAAAACAUGAAUAUAUCGUUUGCAGUGCUUGGCAAUGAAGAAUGUUGGCAAUGUGAAUCCUUCAAUAAUCAUGCUAGAGCCUCACCCCACUCUAAAGAGAAUAUAAUUUUUGAUUGCGAGCACUGCAAGAUAUUUGACGAACAUAAUAAAAAUGCCAUUCUAGCACGCCAAGAAUACAAAAAAGAUGCGUUGCUUAAUAAUACUUGUGAAUCAACAAGUGUAUUCGUUUCCGUCGAUUUACAGAAGGUUAUUAUGCUUCCAAGAUGUGAUAUGUUCAAAGAAAUAAUAUUUGUUCCAAGAAUAAUUUGCUUUAACGAAAGUUUUGUCCCUCUUGGCAAACAAACCAAAACUAAACAGCCAGUCGCUGUUAUCUGGCACGAGGGUACUGCAGGACGAUCACAAGGUGAUAUAAUAUCAACAUUCAAUAAAUUUUUGCUUCUGAACAGAGAUGCGAUAGAGAUUACAAUAUGGAUGGAUAACUGCGCAGCUCAGAAUAAGAACUGGAUGCUGUACUCUUUUUUUGUCUACUUUAUAAAUUCAAAACAAACAUCUCUGAAGCAAAUUAAAUUAAAAUAUCUGCAAACGGGUCACACGUUCAUGAGUGCCGAUUCCUUUCACCACCAGGUAGAGAAAUCUUUAAAACAAAAAGGAAAAGUUUUAGAUUUUGAAGAUUAUAAGAAUUGUAUUCAAUCAUCAA
rnacentral:misc_RNA from 1 species